rnacentral:lncRNA from 1 species
UGAAAAUCAAUGAUAAAACUGAUAUCUAGAGUUGAGCUAUGGGAUUGACUAGAUGAGGUGGAUGUCCUCAUUUGAGUUGGAUUGACUACCCUUGGAGAAGGACUAACUCCUCUUGAAGUUGAAUUGAUAACUGAGGUUGAGCUAGAGGUGGAUAUCCUCAUCCGAUUUGGACUAACUACCCUUGGAGUUGGACUAACUCCUCUUGGAGUUGAAUUGAUAACUGAGGUUGAGCUAGAGGUGGAUGUCCUCAUCCGAGUUGGACUAACUACCCUUGGAGUUGGACUGACUCCUCUUAGAGUUGAACUGAUAACUGAGGUUGAGCUAUGAGAUUGACUAGAUGAGGUGGACGUCCUCAUCCAAGUUGGACUAACUACCAUUGGAGUUGGACUGGUAAUUGAAGUUGAGCUAUGGGAUUGACUGGAUGAGGUGGAUGUCCUCAUCUGAGUUGGACUAACUACCCUUGGAGUUGGACUGGCUCCUCUUGGAGUUGAAUCGAUAACUGAAGUUGAGCUAUGGGAUUGACUCGAUGAGGUGGAUGUCCUCAUCCGAGUUGGACUAACUACCCUUGGAGUUGGACUGAAUCCUCUUGGA